ensembl:lncRNA
GCCUCAGGGCAGGCUUCCUGGGGAAGGACAACACGCCGCGAGACCUAUAAAGGAAGGAAGGGGAAAGGUGCUCCAGAUAGAGGUCACGGCUUGAGCAAGUGCCUGGCGAGGGGAACCUGCAUGGUGCGCACUGCGAAUUCUAAGCCUCGAGGAGGAACCUAGAGGGAGGAAGAGAGGUCUGCAGGGAAUUCAAAUUGACCCUAAGCUAACAUCUGUGCCAGUCUUCCUCUACUUUAUAUAUGGGACGCUGCCACAGCAUGGCUUGAUGAGUAGUGCGAAGGUCCGAACCAGGGAUUGGAAUCUGUGAACCCUGGACCGCCAAAGCAGAAAGCGUGAACUUAACCACUACUCCAUGGAGGGACCACCGUGCCCAGUUGGUUUAAAUCAGCGCCUCUGAGAUGGCAGCACCAGGAGACCCCUUGGGCUCCAAGCAUCCAACCCCCAUGAGACAGCGGAGCUUCAUCCUGCAAGGCACGGCACCAAGUCAAAGAACUGGGUGAGCCCCCUCACACGGAGGGCGCUGGAUAGAGACGUUUAGUGUAACCAGAAAUUCAUUCUUUCCUCCAGCAAAUGUUUAUUAAGCAUCCACUAUGUUCCAGCUGUUAGAAGCCGUGGGGUUGCAACAGACAAUAAACCAAUAUAGUCUGUGUGAGUGUGUGUGUGUGUGUGUGUGUAUGUGUGUGAGAUGUUGAAAAGUUCUCCUAGGGAGAAAAAUUAAGACGGGAAGGGGAACAAGGAAUGUGGAAAUGGUUUGCAAUUUGAAAUAGGAUGGUGCAGGAAGGCCUUCUGGGAAGGGACCUUUGAAUAGAGAUCAGAAGAUAUGGUGGGAAUAAGCCAUGAAGACAUCUGAGGGAAGAGGGUCCCAGGCAGAGGGGACAGCAAGUGCAAAUGCCCUGGGGCAAGAUUGUGCUUGUCUUGGUUCAAGGAGCAGUGAAGAAGGCAGAGAGGGGGCUGAGGCAGGGGGCCAGAUGGAGUAAGGCCUUCCAGGUCACCAGGAUGCCCCAAAGUGGAUAUAAUACAUAGUGACAAAGGUACACAAUAGGAGUGAGGCCCAGAGCCGCUAAUUAGGCAACUCUAAACUUGUGUCUCAUUACCCAACCACACCUCCUGCAGUGCACUAUGAAUUAAUAUUUUCUAUAAAUCCUGUAAUUAUCUUGUGAAUAGCACAAUUAUAUUGCAUUGUAUUUGUAUGUGUUAAAAGCGCUCAUUUGUUAAAUGUAAACAUUUGAAAUAUACCAUAUAUUAUGCAGCCCUUUUCACACUUUUAUUUAAUAAACUGGAAGCCUUAAAAUUGGAAGCAGAAGGGCCUUUUCUUCCAAGAGUUCCCUGGAGGCAGGUCUACACUCACACUCAUCCACACCCUCACAUACACCACACUGACUCACCCACUCACCCACAGUGCCCAGCCAGAACCCCGGGCUGGGAGGCAGAGACCUGUUCACCUGCCACUCGGGGUGGCCUCGGGCAGAUCCCUGCAGUGUCUUCCACUCCCUCCACCUCACCUUGCCCAGCCCUUAACAGUUUAUAGACAGCGUCCUUGUCCUCAUGGACCUUCACUACAAAAUGGGCAGGGGUUAAUGUGUCCAUUUUACAGACAGGUAAACUGAGGCUCUGAGUGGUGCCUGCUCAAAGUGGCUGAGGAUGGAACAGGGAGACUAGAGAAGGCAAAAUGGGGAUGGGGAAGAUUUAGAAGUUCAAAGGUGAGGAGAGGGGCGGGAGACUGUCUUUGCU